rnacentral:rRNA from 1 species
AACGAACGCUGGCGGCAUGCCUAACACUAUGCAAGUCGAGUCGGGCCCUUCGGGGUCAGCGGCGGACGGGUUAGUAACGCGUGGGAACGUGCCUUUCGCUACGGAAUAGCCCAUGGAAACGUGGAUUAAUACCGUAUACGCCCUUUUGGGGAAAGAUUUAUCGGCGAGAGAUCGGCCCGCGUUGGAUUAGGUAGUUGGUGGGGUAACGGCCUACCAAGCCGACGAUCCAUAGCUGGUUUGAGAGGAUGAUCAGCAACACUGGGACUGAGACACGGCCCAGACUCCUACGGGAGGCAGCAGUGGGGAAUCUUGGACAAUGGGGGUCAACCCUGAUCCAGCCAUGCCGCGUGAGCGAUGAA